rnacentral:tRNA from 1 species
ACCUAAAAAUCUCCGCAUGCA